CCUACGGGUCGCAGCAGUGGGGAAUAUUGCACAAUGGGCGCAAGCCUGAUCCAGCCAUGCCGCGUGAGUGAAGAAGGCCUUAGGGUUGUAAAGCUCUUUCACCGGUGAAGAUAAUGACGGCAACCGGAGAAGAAGCCCCGGCUAACUUCGUGCCAGCAGCCGCGGUAAUACGAAGGGGGCUAGCGUUGUUCGGAAUUACUGGGCGUAAAGCGCGCGUAGGCGGAUAGAUAAGUCAGAGGUGAAAUCCCGGGGCUCAACCCCGGAAUUGCCUUUGAUACUGUUUAUCUUGAGUGCAGAAGAGGUAAGUGGAAUUCCGAGUGUAGAGGUGAAAUUCGUAGAUAUUCGGAGGAACACCAGUGGCGAAGGCGGCUUACUGGUCUGCAGCUGACGCUGAGGCGCGAAAGCGUGGGGAGCAAACAGGAUUAGAUACCCCCGUAGUC
rnacentral:rRNA from 1 species